rnacentral:tRNA from 1 species
AAAGAGAUGACUGAGUGGUUGAUAGCUUUGAUCCUAAAAACUGGUAUAGUUUGAGGCAAAGAACUAUUGAGGGUUCGAAUCCCUCUCUCUUAU